UACGUAGGGGGCUAGCGUUGUCCGGAAUCAUUGGGCGUAAAGCGCGUGUAGGCGGCUCGGUAAGUCCGCUGUGAAAGUCGGGGGCUCAACCCUCGGAUGCCGGUGGAUACUGUCGGGCUAGAGUACGGAAGAGGCGAGUGGAAUUCCUAGUGUAGAGGUGAAAUUCGUAGAUAUUGGGAAGAACACCGGUGGCGAAGGCGGCUCGCUGGCUCGUAACUGACGCUCAUGCACGAAAGCGUGGGGAUCAAACAGG
rnacentral:rRNA from 1 species